GCCUCUCUUCCUGCUUUCAUGACCCUCUCCGCCAUUUAAAGAAACAGUACCGGGGGCGGGCCGAGCGACGCAGCCGGGACGGUAGCUGCGGCGCGGACCGGAGGAGCCAUCUUGUCUCGUCGCCGGGGAGUCAGGCCCCUAACUCGAAGACGCCCUGGCGCGCCCUCCCCCCCUUCCCGGUCUGGUAGGGCGAAGGAGCGGGCGCGCGGUCGAUCGAGCGAUCGGUUGGCGGCUCUUUCUCCUGCUCUGGCAUCCAGCUCUUGGGGCGCAGGCCCGGCCGCCGCGGCGCGCGCCCGGUGGCCGUUGGCGCUCGCGCCGCGUCUUUCUUCUAGUACGCAGAACUCGGGCGGCGGCCUAUGCGUUUGCGAUUCGACGAGGAGUCGUCCGGGUGGUUGGCGGCGGCGGGCAGCUGCUCCGCCCCGCUCCCGGGGAGGCUGCGGCGGCGGGAUUUGGCGCGGCCGGGGAGGCGGGGGUGGCCGGGGCCGGCGUGGAGGCCUGGCGCCACCCUUCGGGGCCUGCAAGGACCCAGUUGGGGGGGCAAGAGGGGGCUGGGGGAUGGUUGGUGGUGGGCUUUCUACUUUGUCUUUUUCUCCUCAUGCCCCCUUAGUGAGGGGCAGGAGCUUUGGCGGCAGCUCCGGGUUGGCGAGACAAGCCCCGGAGUCGGAAGAGCUGGGUUUGCUUCCGGCCCUAGCCACCAGCUGGCCGAGUGACCUUAGGCAGAUCACUCUGUAAUUUGUCAGCGCCUCAGUUUCCUCCUCUGCCUAUCAAUGUUUGUGGGGUUGAAAGCGCUUUGUAAGUUAUAAAGCGUCGGUGUACGUAAGGGAUGAUUAUUGUUUGUAAUGGAUUUUUUUUUUGAGUUGUGAGAAAAGUUAGCAAUUGCCCAGUUUUUGGAUUUUGAACCUGGGAACCUUGGAUUGGAGUUGGAAGCCCCCAAGUUCCCCCGAAAUUGUGUGCAGAAAUAGUGGAAGUGUGCAUUUGGGGGAAUGAGGACCCAUCGCCAGCAAGUUUUCAAAAGGGGGCUGUGACUCAGAAGAGUUAACUACAAUUCCUUUAUGCCACAGGGAGGAAACUGAGGCCUAGAUGUCAUUUGGGACUCUUCACAACUGAUUUGAAGCCCCUCUUUGAUCCCUGGGAUAUGUGAGCUGUUUCUAUGCAUAACGGGGUAACAACACUCCACUGCUUGGCUUCUAUUCUGAGUCCUUUCAUUUUACCAUGGGGUGCCUGAAGGGUGGCUGAUGUGUAUGGUAUGGUUUAAUGGCCCCCAAUAUAAAGCAGCUAAAACUAGAAAUGGAUGUGUUCCCUAGUAUCAAGAAGCCUAUUUAGUCUUUGGCCCAGCAACUCUUGGUUUUCUGCUGCUUAUACUGGUGCCUGACUACCUUUCUGUUUCAUUGACCAUUUUCCACGACCACGGUUGCCAUCCAUUACUUGCUUCUAUUUUGUAUGCUUAGUCUCUGCGGUUGGUGGUAAGCAGGCUUAUUUUUAAAAGGUGCUGCGGAGUCCAGCUAAUUAAUGGGGCAGGUGGAUUUUUAGCAAGCUGGCUCACUGGAACAGACUAAACCAGGCAUGGAAUUCCUGAAGAUGUUUGGGGGUUUAUCUUUGUUAAUUGAAGGUUAACAUUCUCUGAAGUUUUGUCAUGACUUCUACUGAAUUUCAAAAUCAGUAGAUUUGGAAGUGCAUCAGUGCUUACCUUUUUCCUGGCCUGCUUUGUAUUCUGUUGCUUACAAGUGUGUUACUAAGGUGGCCUAGAUGCCAGUUACUGGUUUUUUGUUAAUUGUCAGCUGCUUUUAUCAAAUUACAGGCCAUUAUCCAGCAAACACUAUAGAAAUGUUUGAACAGUUGUAUUUCAAACAUUUUCUUUUUGUGGAGUGCUGCUUACCAGUGGUACAGCUCUAAGCAAGUGAACAUAAAUACAUGUAAGUGUAUUUUGUCUGGUUAGGUGUUCACCUGUUUUGUUAUUUCAUAAAAGUGUCUGAGAAAAACAAUUGACUAUUCCUUUUAUGUAAAGGGCAGAGACAAAUGAUCUUACUUCCAGACUAUUAUAGAGAAAAACGUGUUGGUCUUUUAGCUCCUUUGUUAUUAUCUGGAUGUACCUCAAAAGAAUCUUAAGACUGUGGUGAUCUUAUAAGAUGGUUUCCUCAGGAGAAAGGAGGAAGAAAAACAACUGGAACUCAAAGCUUGAAAUUCUGUGGCAAAAUACGAGCUGUCCAGGAUAGAAGGCCGAAAAGGUUUCACUACAGUGUUCUGCACUAGCUGCAGCAGAUGCUUUUCUGUGUAGCCACGGCAUAGACUCCAGAUUUCCAGAUUUUCGAGAACUACACCUGGGACCUGAAGAGCUCAUCAGGAUGUGACAGGGACUCUGGAGCUGAACAUUCUUGUUUUUGAAUUUGGGGGCUGUUGACCUUGCUUUGAAAAGAGAAACAGAGCAAGCACUGCCACGAGCGCUAUUACUGGGAAUUUGAAGACCUGAGUUUCUGCCAGAGCUUCAUUGCAAGCUCUAGUGUGCUCCAUCCAAAGUGAACUACGUCCUGUGCCUCCUGAUAGCUGAGUAUUCACCUGGACCUUCUGACCACCUUCCUUGUACUGUUCCAUCAGCCUACAGAUCUGGUACCUGGAUUUCUGCCCAUGGUGAUUCCGUCACCUUACUGCUGAAGAAGACACCAUUCCAGUGGACCACUGUGAUCCAAGAGGCAUUCAGUCAUGAUGAUGUGGCCUUCACCUCCACUCCUUUCCUGUUCUGCCCAGUUUCAGCACAGCCCUUUAUAGUGAAGUCAAACUAUUCAAGCCAAAUAGCUAAAGCUAUUUUAUCACAGCAAAGGCCCAGGUUGUUCCACGAGGGUACAUUUUGUUUCUUCAGUCAAAACCUUCAGAGACACAUAUAAAUUUGGACCAGGCAAUUUUUAGUUAUCAACGCUGAAGAAUGGCAACAUCUUUUGAGAACGGCGUUGGAUCACAAUUUCAAAUGAUUGCAAUUCAUGAAGUGUCUAGUGUCCUAUGCAGGUCAUUGGACCCUAUUCUUACUCCACUUCAAGUCUGUAGUGGCCUACUGAAUAGAAAGCAGAUACUCUGACCAACAGAUAUUGGGACUAAAACAAAGGCACAGUGAACUCACAGCAUCUUUGGGAUUACUCAGGAACCAGAACUUUUCACACAAAUGUAAGAAAUUCUACCAAGGAAUCCCUUUAUCUAACAGCAUCUCACAAAGCUCCAAUCAGAUUCCAGGAAAGGCCUCUUGAUACACCCAGGUAGAACCUAUAAUGUAAUCCCUUGUGUUUAUAUAGCACUUUAUGGUUUCAGAGCACUUUUACAUACAUAAAUCUCAAUUAUCAAAAUAACAUGGUAAAUUAUAAUUUCUUUUUGUAAAUGAGGAAAUUGAAGUUUAAAAGAUUGUCCAACAAGACACAGCUACAAAGUGGUAGAGGCCAGGCCUUCUGACUCCCAGUCCAGUUCUCUCCAUGGAAUUAACUUAGCCUCUACUUUACCUGCAGUGUUAAAAUGACUGGAGUUUGGUAACCCCAAAAAAAGUUCCCAACCUCUUGAUCUGAUGCUCUCAGUCAGUCAGGAUGUCAUAAGUAUAAUCUUAUGAUGGCUCCAUAUAGGCCAGAAUUCCAUGGUACUGCCCCAAAGGGGUAAGAGCAGACUGUCUCCAUAGUGGUAGGUUUAUUCAGUCAACAUGACACAUGGUCAUCUGACAGACUACACAACAUGAAAUACAAAGCUACUUCUAGGUCCGUUGUUCACAUAGUCUUCCCAAAUUCCCAAAUGGCCUAAUUGGAAAUCCCUUUUCAUGUUAUGUUCUUUUUAAAAUUAAAAAAAAAGUCUUAGUAAUA